AGGAUAAAGGAAUUUUCUGGCAUUUGUCACAAAAGCUUGGGUGAUAAACUUAUCUGUUAGAUAAAACUUUCUCCUAGUGUGUCAAAAUUAAGGAAAUGCUCAGGCUGCGUUGAAUCUGGGAGUCAGCAACUGGUGCAUGAGGGCCGAUGAGCUAAAGGAAGCUUCUGUCUGCAUUGUCACAUGGAGUAUUGACAUUUCAGUACCAUAACAGAUGCAACUGUUCACUGACCUUGAAAUGCGAUAUACUCUCUUAGAUAUAGAAUGCUGAAGGAAACAGGCUUAGCUCCUGGCUGAGAAUAAAUGACAACACAGAAGCAGAGAAGGAAAACCUAACUUCAAUGGAAAUAUGAUCUAAUUAACAAAAGAAGAAUCUACAGAAAUUUUUGAAGUCAAGAUGAGAAAAGAAACUCAAGAUAUAUAUAUAUUUAGAAUAUUUUUUAACAUUAAAUGAUAAAUCAAAAAUAAUUUCAAUUUGAUAUACCAAAUUUUCAACAAACUGUUUUUGCCUGUGAAUCUGCCAUAUGUAUCCAAGAUCAUGAUAAAAUCUAAUUUGCUUUCACUAUACUAAAUAUUCAGCUGUAAUUCCUUUGUCCCCCCCCUUGUUUUGUCUCUCUUCAGGCAUUUUUUAGCUACUAUGCAGGCACAGUUAACUUAGUUAACACUUGACUGAGAAUAUUAUUAAAAGUAGAUUCUAGAUCAUUUAUUUAAUUUAUAACCAAAAUGGAACAGUUACAUGAACAUUCACUUAUUUAUUUGGUAUUCCACUUUCCAUAAAAUGCAGGCAUUCUUCUUGCAUGUAUCCAUCUAAUGAAUCAUCUAUUGACUAAAACCUGAAUAACAUAAAAUUUUAUAGAAACUAUAAAAAUGCAUUUCAAAGAGGUCUUGGUAAAUGCAAUGUUCCACUAAUUAUCAUGUUUCUUUUUCUAUAAGGGUGUACUAAUUAAAUCAAUAGUACCAUACAUGCAAUCUCACAGAUCUUAUAAAACUAUGUAUGACAAAUAUGUAUGACAAACUAUGUAUGACAAAACUAUGUAUGACAAAUAUUUUUUCCAUGUUUGUUGUUUUCAAUAAUACCGUAAUCAAGAAUACUGUGCAUCUGAUUCCUAGUCUUCAUUUAUUGAUGAGAUGAGCUUUCAAAAUGAAGUUUCCUUUCACAAUUCUUCUUCAAUAUGAUCCUCUGUAUGCAAAUCUAAAUUUGCAAAUUAGAAAAUUGGUUAUAUUAAUAAAAUAAAAUAUGCAUGAUUGAUGCAUCUAAUAGUCUGUCUUUGUAUUGUGCUGUUAUAGUUACUUUUCAU